AGCUAAAGAAAGUUAAGUCGAUAGAAGUAAAAUUAAAUUAUGUAAGCACAAUUGCUUUCCUCAUCCUUAGGUUCCACAUCUGCAGAUUAACUCAAUGUGGUUGCUUGAAUCUGUGGAAGCGGGACCUUGGCUACUGUGGGAACACUGUUUUCUAAAAGGGAAUUGAGCAUCUCUGGAUUCUGGUAUUCAAGCAGGUUGGUGCUGGUGGUAGAGUGUCCUGGAACCAAUCACAGAAAGAAAAUUAUAAAGAGUAAAGGAGCCGUAAUGAAAGAAGAUGGCUACACUGAGCAUGCUUUUGUCAACAAAUAGUUAAUAAUAAGAAACCAAUUUUUUCAACUCUAGGUAAGUGAUCCUCAAAUAUUCACUAUUCUCUGAAACAAAGAUCAGAAUUUCCAAGCUUUGACUAUUCUGAAAAAUCUUUUGUUGUUUCUACUCUUAAUCAUUAUGUAUGUUUUGACAUCAGUGAAAAUCAGAAGAAAUGUGUAAAAAUCAAUAGCAGGAGAAAAGAGGGGGUAUUUAGACAUAUAUUAAUAAUUAAGAAGAAACAGUGAAGUAUAUAAAAAUGUUAAGUUAUUGGUAAAGACAAGUGGUGUCUAAUUAAAAUAUUUAGCUUUCUGAGCUCUGAGCCUACUACUAGCAAACAUGUCUUAAAAUGAAGCCUUAUUCAGAAAGAGCUUCAUGAAUAGAUAUCUUACAUCAAAGUGAUUCACAGUGAUGCUUUGUGAGCUUUGUUUGUGGGAAGUUUAUGUAGUGUAGAGGUUAAGAUCACAGGCUUAGUGCUUAGUCACACCUACGUUUUGAAACCUGAUUCUGCUGCUUCCACUCCCAAGAUCACUGUAAGAUCUUGGGUAAGUUUUAUUUAACCUAUCUAUACCUCAGUUUACUCUUUUGUUAAAGCCAGUAACACUGCAUAACUCACAGAUUGUUUUAGCGGCGUGACUAAUACAGAAGCACUUAGCUUAGCAGGGCUCAGUAAGCUAGAGCAAGAGUUACAUUUUCCUUUUCCAGUGGAAGUUUAGAAAUGUAGGCAGACAGUAAAAUGAUAGCCUUUUAUCAGUGUCCUACAAAACAAAGUGUAGAUCAUCUAGCUCUUUAGUUAGCUGGAUGAAGACAGGCACAAAAGAUAUGAUAGUUUAAUCCUCAAGGUUAGCCUUUUGGGCUUUGGGUAAGAGUAGAACAAUCACACCUUUUUCUUGG
rnacentral:lncRNA from 1 species